UGGGGAAUUUUGCACAAUGGAGGAAACUCUGAUGCAGCGACGCCGCGUGAGUGAUGAAGAUCUUCGUAUUGUAAAACUCUGUCCUUAGUGAAGAUAAUGACAGUAACUAAGAAGCAAGCCCUGGCUAAAUACGUGCCAGCAGCCGCGGUAAUACGUAUGGGGCAAGCGUUGUCCGGAAUUAUUGGGCGUAAAGGGUACGUAGGCGGUUUAAUAAGUCCUAAUUAAAAGGCUAUGGCUCAACCAUAGUAUGGUUAGGAAACUGUUGAACUUGAGUAGAUGAGGGGAAAGUGGAAUUCCAUGUGUAGCGGUAAGAUGCGUAGAUAUAUGGAGGAACACCAAUGGCGAAGGCAACUUUCUGGAAUCAAACUGACGCUGAGGUACGAAGGCGUGGGGAGCAAGCAGG
rnacentral:rRNA from 1 species